rnacentral:lncRNA from 1 species
AAAAUGAAUAUAUAUGUAGUGAUUCUUCUAACAAGCACACAAGCCCAAGCUGCUAAAAAAUACAAAGACCUGUUGCUCAGUACAAUAAAUAUGAUAAAAUAUAUACUGAUACAUAUUUUAAAAAAAUAACAAGGAAUUUGUGCUGCCAAAGUGCACUGUGGAAAUUGAUUUAUAUUCAUAAUCAUAUUAUAUUUGCCAUUAUCUGCGCUUAAAAUUGAAAUCCACUUGUGAAAGGUAUAUGACUUGUACUUGGAAGUGUCAC